CACGUAGGCACCAAGCGUUGUCCGGAUUUAUUGGGCGUAAAGAGCUCGUAGGCGGUUCAGUAAGUCGGGUGUGAAAACUUUGGGCUUAACCCAAAGCGUGCAUCCGAUACUGCUGUGACUUGAGUUCGGUAGGGGAGUGGGGAAUUCCAGGUGUAGCGGUGAAAUGCGUAGAUAUCUGGAGGAACACCGGUGGCGAAGGCGGCAUCCUGGACCGAGAUUGACGCUGAUGCGCGAAAGCCAGGGGAGCAAACGGG
rnacentral:rRNA from 1 species